GCAGCGGUAGUUCAGUUGGUUAGAAUACCGGCCUGUCACGCCGGGGGUCGCGGGUUCGAGCCCCGU
rnacentral:tRNA from 3 species